AGUCAGCAUUAUCUAGAAGGGUCCCGCGCUACGUCUCGCCAGCAGGAACGACGCGGCACACACAGGAUCCUACUACAGAAAAGCUUUAAUGCGUCUUGAGAGGGAGAGCAUAAGCUUACAAUGCGGAGACGGAGAGUGAGGAAUAACUGUCCCUUAUAUAGGAAACUAUCCUCGCCUAGGACGUGUCACUCUCUGACUGGUCGCUGCCAAUUAUGCCAGAUGACGUACCAAAACGUACGUGUCCCUUUGAGUAGGGACGUUACCAGGCGCCUGCGUAUUGCCCUUUUUACUAGGCUGUUUGACAAGCCGAUGCCCACAAGCCAUCUAAUUUCAGUGUGAGUGACACGUGCGUGCUCUGACCCAGAAGCCACCUACUGCACACAUUCUACAUCUCCUAGGAAGCAUCCUCCUCGGGCUGUCUAGAAACUGAAGCUGGUAAACUGAAAGACUCAGUUCAGCCUAGGGUGGCCGUAGAAGUGGGAAACAACGCGACAACUUCUUUAGGUUUUCAUCGUGUCUCAGAAGGUGACUUGGCGGUGAAAUAUGAACUAAUGACUCUUACCACAGUCAUCUCACAGAACAAGAUAAAAUUUAUUCCUCUAUUUUUAUUAA